rnacentral:rRNA from 1 species
AUACGGAGGGUGCAAGCGUUAUCCGGAAUCAUUGGGUUUAAAGGGUCCGUAGGCGGACUAUUAAGUCAGAGGUGAAAUCCCACAGCUCAACUGUGGAACUGCCUUUGAUACUGGUAGUCUUGAGUUAUAUGGAAGUAGGUAGAAUGUGUAGUGUAGCGGUGAAAUGCAUAGAUAUUACACAGAAUACCGAUUGCGAAGGCAGUCUACUACGUAUAUACUGACGCUAAGGGACGAAAGCGUGGGGAGCGAGCAGGAUUAGAAACCCCGGUAGUCC